rnacentral:rRNA from 1 species
AUUGAACGCUGGCGGCAUGCUUUACACAUACAAGUCGAACGGUAACAGGUUAAGCUGACGAGUGGCGAACGGGUGAGUAAUGCAUCGGAACGUGCCCGAUCGUGGGGGAUAACGCAGCGAAAGCUGCGCUAAUACCGCAUACGAUCUGAGGAUGAAAGCGGGGGACCGUAAGGCCUCGCGCGAUCGGAGCGGCCGAUGUCAGAUUAGGUAGUUGGUGGGGUAAAGGCUCACCAAGCCAACGAUCUGUAGCUGGUCUGAGAGGACGACCAGCCACACUGGGACUGAGACACGGCCCAGACUCCUACGGGAGGCAGCAGUGGGGAAUUUUGGACAAUGGGCGAAAGCCUGAUCCAGCAAUGCCGCGUGCAGGAAGAAGGCCUUCGGGUUGUAAACUGCUUUUGUACGGAGCGAAAAGGCUCUCUCUAGUACAGGGGGCUCAUGACGGUACCGUAAGAAUAAGCACCGGCUAACUACGUGCCAGCAGCCGCCGUAA